rnacentral:rRNA from 1 species
UUAGUGGCGGACGGGUGAGUAACGCGUGAGAAUCUGCCCUCAGGAGGGGGAUAACGGCUGGAAACGGCCGCUAAUACCCCAUAUGCCGAGAGGUGAAAUGAAUUUCGCCUGAGGAUGAGCUCGCGUCUGAUUAGCUAGUUGGUGUGGUAAAGGCUCACCAAGGCAUCGAUCAGUAGCUGGUCUGAGAGGAUGAUCAGCCACACUGGGACUGAGACACGGCCCAGACUCCUACGGGAGGCAGCAGUGGGGAAUUUUCCGCAAUGGGCGCAAGCCUGACGGAGCAACGCCGCGUGAGGGAUGAAGGCCUCUGGGCUGUAAACCUCUUUUAUCAAGGAAGAAGAUCUGACGGUACUUGAUGAAUAAGCCACGGCUAAUUCCGUGCCAGCAGCCGCGGUAAUACGGGAGUGGCAAGCGUUAUCCGGAAUUAUUGGGCGUAAAGCGUCCGCCGGGGGUUUUACAAGUCUGUCGUUAAAACGUGGAGCUCAACUCCCUUUCGGCGAUGGAAAACUGUAAAACUAAAAUGUGGUAAGGGCAGAAGAAAUUUCCCGGGGUAGCGGUGAAAUGCGUAAAUAUCGGGAAGAACAACCAUGGGCGAAAGGCCUCUGCUGGGCCAUAACUGACGCUCCUGGGCGAAAGCCCGGGGAGCGAAGGGAAUAAAAACCCCUGUGGCCCUGGCCCUAAACGAAGAAAACCUGGUGUCGGGGGAAUCAAACCCCCUCCGGGGCGAACCAAAC